ACUCCUACGGGAGGCAGCAGUGGGGAAUAUUGCACAAUGGGCGCAAGCCUGAUGCAGCAACGCCGCGUGAGCGAUGAAGGCCUUCGGUCGUAAAGCUCUGUCCUCAAGGAAGAAUAAAUGACGGUACUUGAGGAGGAAGCCCCGGCUAACUACGUGCCAGCAGCCGCGGUAAUACGUAGGGGGCAAGCGUUAUCCGGAAUCACUGGGGCGUAAAGGGGUGCGUAGGCGGUUUUCAAGUCAGAAGUGAAAGGCUAUGGCUCAACCAUAGUAAGCUUUUGAAACUGUUAAACUUGAGUGCAGGAGAGGAAAGUGGAAUUCCUAGUGUAGAGGUGAAAUUCGUAGAUAUUAGGAGGAACACCAGUGGCGAAGGCGACUUUCUGGACUGUAACUGACGCUGAGGCACGAAAGCGUGGGGAGCGAACAGGAUUAGAUACCCUGGUAGCACAGAGAG
rnacentral:rRNA from 1 species